rnacentral:rRNA from 1 species
AGGGUUUGAUCAUGGCUCAGAACGUACGCUGGCGGCACGCCUAACACAUGCAAGUCGAACGAAGUAGCAAUACUUAGUGGCAGACGGGUGAGUAACAUGUAGGUAUCUGCCCUUUGGCCUGGAAUAACACGAGGAAACUUGUGCUAAUACCGGAUAAGUCUUUACGGAGAAAGCUUUAUGCACCAUUGGAUGAGCCUGCACUUGAUUAGUUUGUUGGUGGGGUAAUGGCCUACCAAGACUGUGAUCAAUAGCUGAUUUGAGAGGAUGAUCAGCCACAUUGGGACUGAGACACGGCCCAAACUCCUACGGGAGGCAGCAGUGGGGAAUCUUGCACAAUGGAGGAAACUCUGAUGCAGCGAUGCCGCGUGAGUGAAGAAGGCCCUUGGGUUGUAAAGCUCUUUCGUCGGGGAAGAAAAUGACUGUACCCGAAUAAGAAGGUCCGGCUAACUUCGUGCCAGCAGCCGCGGUAAUACGAAGGGACCUAGCGUAGUUCGGAAUUACUGGGCUUAAAGAGUUCGUAGGUGGUUGAAAAAGUUAGUGGUGAAAUCCCAGAGCUUAACUCUGGAACUGCCAUUAAAACUUUUCAGCUAGAGUAUGAUAGAGGAAAGCAGAAUUUCUAGUGUAGAGGUGAAAUUCGUAGAUAUUAGAAAGAAUACCAAUUGCGAAGGCAGCUUUCUGGAUCAUUACUGACACUGAGGAACGAAAGCAUGGGUAGCGAAGAGGAUUAGAUACCCUCGUAGUCCAUGCCGUAAACGAUGUGUGUUAGACGUUGGAAAUUUAUUUUCAGUGUCGCAGCGAAAGCGAUAAACACACCGCCUGGGGAGUACGACCGCAAGGUUAAAACUCAAAUGAAUUGACGGGGACCCGCACAAGUAGUGGAGCAUGUGGUUUAAUUCGAAGAUACGCGCAGAACCUUACCAACACUUGACAUGUUCGUCGCGACUCUAAGAGAUUAGAGUUUUCGGUUCGGCCGGACGAAACACAGGUGCUGCAUGGCUGUCGUCAGCUCGUGUCGUGAGAUGUUGGGUUAAGUCCCGCAACGAGCGCAACCCUCACUUUUAGUUGCCAUCAUUUAGUUGGGCACUCUGAAAGAACUGCCAGUGAUAAGCUGGAGGAAGGUGGGGAUGACGUCAAGUCCUCAUGGCCCUUACGUGUUGGGCUACACACGUGCUACAAUGGUAUCUACAACAGGAAGCAAGACUGCGAGGUCAAGCAAAUCCUUAAAAGAUACCUCAGUUCGGAUUGCACUCUGCAACUCGAGUGCAUGAAGCUGGAAUUACUAGUAAUCGUGGAUCAGCGUGCCACGGUGAAUGCGUUCCCGGGUCUUGUACACACCGCCCGUCACACCAUGGGAGUUGGUUCUACCUUAAGGCAAGGUUUCAAACCCUUGACCACGGUAUAGUCAGCGACUGGGGUGAAGUCGUAACAAGGUAGCCGUA